rnacentral:rRNA from 1 species
CUUUCAACAACGGAUCUCUAGGCUCUUGCAUCGAUGAAGAACGCAGUGAAAUGUGAUAAGUAAUGUGAAUUGCAGAAUCUCGUGAAUCAUCGAAUCUUUGAACGCACAUUGCGCCCAAUGGUAUUCCACUGGGCAUACCUGUUUGAGUGUCA